rnacentral:lncRNA from 1 species
GGCAAAGGAACUGACAUUGAAGACCAAGAUUUGGAGAAGUUUAAAGAGGUGACAAGAGAGAACGGGAUUCCAGAAGAAAAUAUUGUGAACAUCAUCGAAAGAGAUGACUGUCCUGCCAAGUGAAUCAAAAGCGACUUCGACAUCAUCAAACUGAUGCAACACGAAGAACCAGGCAUUGCCAUUGCUCCAUGGAAUCAAUACCAAUGACCCACAUGCCUGGUUCCUGCCUCUUAUAAUCCUGCUCUGCCCAUGAUUAUCCCACGUCCUCUCUCCUCAUCCCUUAAUCACAUCCUCUGGGGUGGUCCUUGACUUCGGAAGGUUCAAAUAAAGGGAAUUCAUGCAGACCUGGGCAA